GCGACUAUGGUGUAAUGGUUAACACACUUGGUUGUGGUCCAGGUAAUGAGGGUUCAAUUCCCUCUAGUCGCCCCA
rnacentral:tRNA from 1 species